AAGUCGUAACAAGGUUUCCGUAGGUGAUCCUGCGGAAGGAUCAUUAACACGUAUCCCCCCCGUGAACCUUCAUCCUGCUCUUGUAACCCGCGUAGUUCGCAAUCUCUGAUAAAUCAUAGCCCGGAAAGUUGUAGUGAUUGAGAGACCUCUGGCUACGUGCGAACAUUGGAACAGUUACAAUCGAGCGGUAGUUCUAUAGGCAACAUUGGGUAAAAAAACCGAACAACUGUUAACAAUGGAUAUCUUGGUUCUC
rnacentral:misc_RNA from 1 species